rnacentral:tRNA from 1 species
GCCGUGGCUUUAUGACAGAGCAACUGUUUGGCACGCAGGAGGCUCCAGGUUCAAUUUCUGGCAUCAGUU